rnacentral:sRNA from 1 species
AGUGCGUGCGCGGGGCAUGCCGGGAGUGGUUGUGUACGGUCCGCAGCGGCAGGUGAAGCCUAGCAGAGGACGCGGCCAGGCGAUUCGGUGAAGCGAUUCCUGCAGGCGUUGGUUCCCCUCUUUGUCCUGUUAAUAAAUCAUGCUUUGAAAGAACUCAUGGAAAUAGAAGAAGUGAGUGAAAAUGUAUUACAAGUUCACUUAAAUGGACUGCUGCAGAUCAAUGACAAAAUCGCCCUAAAGGAAAUCACAAGGCAGUUAAAUCUGGAAAAUGUAGUUGGAGAUAAAGUUUUUGGAAGCUUUGCUGAAAACCUUUCAUUUCUUCUGGAAGCUUUAAAAAAAGGUGACCGAACUAGCAGUUGCCCAGUGAUCUUCAUAUUAGAUGAAUUUGAUCUUUUUGCUCAUCAUAAAAACCAAACACUUCUCUAUAAUCUUUUUGACAUUUCUCAGUCUGCACAGACCCCAAUAGCAGUUAUUGGUCUUACAUGUAGAUUGGAUAUUUUGGAACUCUUAGAAAAAAGAGUGAAGUCA